GUAUUAACGCCGGCAGAACGGGCUACAUUGAUGUUGUAGAAUAUAAAAUAUUAGUUUUUUAAUACU
rnacentral:tRNA from 1 species